rnacentral:misc_RNA from 1 species
AAAGUCGUAACAAGGUUUCCGUAGGUGAACCUGCGGAAGGAUCAUUAUCGAUUCAAAAAGGAUGUGCUGGCCACAAGGCAUAAGUGCACUCCGAAUCCACAUCUCCCUGUGCACUUACUGUGGGUAAAUGGGCUUUGUCCCAAUUGCUCAUGUUUUUUUACACUCUUAUCAUAUAUCAUGAAUGUACAUGGAGUAGGCUUUGUUUCAAAGCUGAAAAAUAAAAUAAAAUAAAACAAUACAACUUUCAACAAUGGAUCUCUUGGUUCUC